UGGGGAAUAUUGCACAAUGGGCGCAAGCCUGAUGCAGCCAUGCCGCGUGUGUGAAGAAGGCCUUAGGGUUGUAAAGCACUUUCAGCGAGGAGGAAGGCAUCACACUUAAUACGUGUGGUGAUUGACGUUACUCGCAGAAGAAGCACCGGCUAACUCCGUGCCAGCAGCCGCGGUAAUACGGAGGGUGCAAGCGUUAAUCGGAAUUACUGGGCGUAAAGCGCACGCAGGCGGUUUGUUAAGUCAGAUGUGAAAUCCCCGCGCUUAACGUGGGAACUGCAUUUGAAACUGGCAAGCUAGAGUCUUGUAGAGGGGGGUAGAAUUCCAGGUGUAGCGGUGAAAUGCGUAGAGAUCUGGAGGAAUACCGGUGGCGAAGGCGGCCCCCUGGACAAAGACUGACGCUCAGGUGCGAAAGCGUGGGGAGCAAAACAGGAUUAGAUACCCUGGUAGUCCACGCUGUAAACGAUGUCGACUUGGAGGUUGUGCCCUUGAGGCGUGGCUUCCGGAGCUAACGCGUUAAGUCGACCGCCUGGGGAGUACGGCCGCAAGGUUAAAAC
rnacentral:rRNA from 1 species